rnacentral:rRNA from 1 species
AACGAACGCUGGCGGCAUGCCUAACACAUGCAAGUCGAACGAGACCUUCGGGUCUAGUGGCGCACGGGUGCGUAACGCGUGGGAACCUGCCCUUAGGUUCGGAAUAACUCCCCGAAAGGGGUGCUAAUACCGGAUAAUGUCUUCGGACCAAAGAUUUAUCGCCUUUGGAUGGGCCCGCGUUGGAUUAGCUAGUUGGUAGGGUAAAAGCCUACCAAGGCGACGAUCCAUAGCUGGUCUGAGAGGAUGAUCAGCCACACUGGGACUGAGACACGGCCCAGACUACGACGGGAGGAAAAAGGGGGGGAUGUUAGAAAAUGGGGGAGAGCCUGAUCGAGCUAUGACGCGUGAGUGAAGAAGGCCUGAGGGGAGAAAAGCUCUCUCAUCUGGCAAGACAAUGAGCGGGGGAGAAGAUGAAGAGACGGCUAACUCCGUG